GACGAACGCUGGCGGCGUGCUUAACACAUGCAAGUCGAACGGAAAGGCCCUGCUUUUGUGGGGUGCUCGAAUGGCGAACGGGUGAGUAACACGUGAGUAACCUGCCCUUGACUUUGGGAUAACUUCAGGAAACUGGGGCUAAUACCGGAUAGGAGCUCCUGCUGCAUGGUGGGGGUUGGAAAGUUUCGGCGGUUGGGGAUGGACUCGCGGCUUAUCAGCUUGUUGGUGGGGUAGUGGCUUACCAAGGCUUUGACGGGUAGCCGGCCUGAGAGGGUGACCGGCCAAAUUGGGACUGGGAUGCGGCCCAGACUCCUACGGGAGGCAGCAGUGGGGAAUAUUGCACAAUGGGCGGAAGCCUGAUGCAGCAACGCCGCGUGCGGGAUGACGGCCUUCGGGUUGUAAACCGCUUUCGCCUGUGACGAAGCGUGAGUGACGGUAAUGGGUAAAGAAGCACCGGCUAACUACGUG
rnacentral:rRNA from 1 species